GACGUAGGGCGCGAGCGUUGUCCGGAUUUAUUGGGCGUAAAGAGCUCGUAGGCGGCUUGUUGCGUCGACUGUGAAAACCCGCGGCUUAACCGCGGGCUUGCAGUUGAUACGGGCAGGCUAGAGUUCGGUAGGGGAGACUGGAAUUCCUGGUGUAGCGGUGAAAUGCGCAGAUAUCAGGAGGAACACCGGUGGCGAAGGCGGGUCUCUGGGCCGAUACUGACGCUGAGGAGCGAAAGCAUGGGUAGCGAACAGG
rnacentral:rRNA from 1 species